rnacentral:rRNA from 1 species
AGAGCGAACGCUGGCGGCAGGCCUAACACAUGCAAGUCGAGCGCCCCGCAAGGGGAGCGGCAGACGGGAGAGUAACACGUGGGAACGUACCCUUCAGUUCGGAACAACCCAGGGAAACUUGGGCUAAUACCGGAUACGUCCGUAAGGAGAAAGAUUUAUCGCUGAAGGAUCGGCCCGCGUCUGAUUAGCUAGUUGGUGGGGUAACGGCUCACCAAGGCGACGAUCAGUAGCUGGUCUGAGAGGAUGAUCAGCCUCACUGGGACUGAGACACGGCCCAGACUCCUACGGGAGGCAGCAGUGGGGAAUAUUGGACAAUGGGCGCAAGCCUGAUCCAGCCAUGCCGCGUGGGUGAUGAAGGCCCUAGGGUUGUAAAGCCCUUUCGGCGGGGAAGAUAAUGACGGUACCUGCAGAAGAAGCCCGGCUAACUUCGCGCCAGCAGCCGC